rnacentral:lncRNA from 1 species
CGUGCAUGUGUGUGUGCACGUGCAUGUGUGUGUGUAAGUGUUGGCCUGGGGAACAAAAUUCAACUAGUUGCUUCCAUUUUGUCCUGAUAAAGUUUUUGAAAAAAAAAUUUUAAGAUAUGGAGAAAAUAUCUUUCCUUUCCCUUCCCUUUAUUUUUCAGGAUUGUUGACUUGCACCUCCCGUGCCGUGUUGCAGGUUUUGCAUCUGUUCAGUGUUUAUGAACCUCCUCUGUGGGCCAGCAUCUGUGUUUAAGACAACGGCAUCAAUCCAUGCAAAGUCUCAUUUCUUUCCAAGACUCUAUGCCUGUUUCAACUCCAUUUUCCAGAGGCACUCACGCUCAUAUGCUAUGCGCUAUAAAUGUAAUUCAUUAAUAUUUGCUGUGCAAUUUGAUUAAUAUUCUUGAAACAAAGAAGAAAUGGACCACAAGUUGAAGGGAUGGCCUUGUGCUAGAAAUCAUAACUACAAAACAGUGAACUCUAAGACCCUCCUGUGAAGUUGGUCAAUGUCAAGGAUGAGAAGGAAUGGCUUGGCUUCCAGACAGAAAACCAAAGUCAUCAAAAGUUGGAAAAGUGAGUCUGAUUUCACGUUCCUUAAGAAAACAUCUCUUUAAAGAGGUGUUAGAAAUGGAACCAGGGAUUCUAUGCUUGGUCAGCAGGCAUAUGAUGCUGUUUGAUAUUUUCUAACAUGAAUGAACCUUUUUGAAAAUACUACUGGAAUGAAAAAUGGAGUCAAGAGCUUAAUGAAAAUAAUAAACUCGGCAACGGUAGAAUUUGUAUGAAGGAGUGGGAUAGGUGUGGGCUGGUGGUGAUUUAUUUCACAUAGAAAGAACCAAAUUAAAAUCAUUG